rnacentral:rRNA from 1 species
UACGUAGGGUGCGAGCGUUGUCCGGAAUUAUUGGGCGUAAAGGGCUCGUAGGCGGUCUGUCACGUCGGGAGUGAAAACUCAGGGCUUAACCCUGAGCCUGCUUCCGAUACGGGCAGACUAGAGGUAUGCAGGGGAGAACGGAAUUCCUGGUGUAGCGGUGAAAUGCGCAGAUAUCAGGAGGAACACCGGUGGCGAAGGCGGUUCUCUGGGCAUGAUCUGACGCUGAGGAGCGAAAGUGUGGGGAGCGAACAGG